rnacentral:rRNA from 1 species
UACGGGGGGGGCAAGCGUUGUUCGGAAUUACUGGGCGUAAAGGGCGCGUAGGCGGCCUUCUAAGUCGAACGUGAAAUCCCCGGGCUCAACCCGGGAACUGCGUCCGAUACUGGAAGGCUUGAAUCCGGGAGAGGGAUGCGGAAUUCCAGGUGUAGCGGUGAAAUGCGUAGAUAUCUGGAGGAACACCGGUGGCGAAGGCGGCAUCCUGGACCGGUAUUGACGCUGAGGCGCGAAAGCGUGGGGAGCGAACAGG